ACUAAACGACUUUCUAGGCUUCUCUGAUAUGCGCUUGAUACGUGCCUCAUCAAUUAUGAUGCUCUAGUCUCGGGUCUUUAACAUCUGCCUCUCUGAAUCUAACUGUUAUUUGACCCAGACGUUUUCCAGGUUUUCCCUUUUCUCCAUCCUCCUGGAUCUGUUAGCCAUUAUGGAGUUGCACAAGGAGCCAUCCAUAAACGUGACAGAGAAAGGUCAGCUGCUGGUCACACACAUGUAGUUUGCAGUGUUCGUGUCUACACCGAUAAGCCUCCCUCGGUACUAACAAUUACUUCCUGCUGUUUCUGACCGGAGUUGGAGCCAAUCCUGUAGGUUGUUCAAAGGCAUCCUGAUUGAUUAAAGCUCUGGAGGAAAGGGUGGAUGAGGCCGCUUCAAUUAAGCCCAGUUUAAGGAAACUAACAUUGUAGACUGUAGAACUGCUUUAAAGCCCAGCUCAGCUCUAUUGUCCAUUAAAGUUAACCGAUCGGUCUUAAAAGAGGCAUUGCAAA